UUCCAGAAACCCCGACCGACGUCGCCGCACCCCCUCCGCGGCGCCGGCAUCCCGCAUCCGGCGCGGCGGGCUAGGGCUUCCUGCCCCGGGCCGGCGUACGCCCCCCCGACCCCGCCACCAUGGGGUUCGACGACAACGACGACGACGACCUCGUGGUCUACGGGACGCCCAUCGAGCGGGAGGAGGACACCUCCGCCCGCAAGCGCCGGGCCGUCGCCGAGGCCGGCCAGCUCCGCGCCCUCCCCGCCUGGAAGCAGGAGGUGAGGGAUGAGGAAGGGCGAAGAAGAUUCCAUGGCGCAUUUACUGGAGGUUUCUCAGCUGGCUAUUACAAUACCGUUGGCACAAAAGAGGGAUGGACUCCACAAACAUUCACAUCAUCACGGAAAAAUAGGGCUGAGGUGAAAAAGCAAAGCGUAUACAGUUUUCUUGAUGAGGAGGACAUAAAGGAUAUGGGUGGCAACGCGUUGGAAACAUCUCAGCAGUAUGAUACAUUUGGUUUGACAGCUACAGAAUAUGCCCGAAAGCAAGCAUCCAAGGAACAGAAAGAGAGACCAUCCGCUAUACCUGGACCUAUUCCUGAUGAGCUGGUGGUCCCUGCUACUACUUCAAUUGGGGUGAAGUUAUUAAUGAAAAUGGGCUGGCGCCAAGGACGUUCAAUCAGAGAUGCACAUACUGACUCCUUAUAUGAAUCACGCAGGGAAGCGAGAAAAGCUUUCCUUGCACUCUCUGGUAUAAAUACUGAUGGUGAAAAACUACAAAUUGAUUCACACAAGUCUGAUAAGGAUGAAAAGGCCACAGAAUCACUUGAGGGGUUACAUUCUACGGGAAAUACCCCGGUAUAUGUUCUUCAUCCCAAGCAAGAUUUGCAUGGGUUAGGUUUUGACCCAUUCAAGCAUGCUCCUGAGUUUAAAGAUAGGAAAAGAUUGCAGAAGUCAGCUAGGGACUGCAAUAGAAGUGGUGUUUCAAUGAGGGGAAGUCUUCUGAUUUCAAACUCAGGACAAUAUGCUCCUGGCUUUGGGAUUGGAGCACUCGAGGAUCUAGGUGUUGAAGAUGAGGAUAUUUAUGCAUCAGGUUUUGCAUAUGAGCAAAUGGAAGUUGAUAUUGAGCCUCCAAAGACAGCCAACGAUAGUAAUUAUAAACUUGAAGACAGGAAAAGAGGUGUCUUCCUGGCUUUUAAAAUCGCCUCAAGUUCUGAGUACAAACUUGAAAGAUUUGAUCCUCCUGACAUCCCAGCUAAUUUUGAUGGUCGCCACAAGUUUCUAACUCCACUCCAGGCUGUUAAUAACUUUUCUGAUUUGGCCCCUCCUGAGGUUCCUCCUCCAGAAGACACUAGCUUGAGAUUAUUGAUUGAGGGUUGUGCCGCUAUGGUUGCUCGUUGUGGAAAACAUAUUGAGGAUUUUUACAAAGAGAAAAGCAAAACAAAUACACAGUUUAAUUUCCUUAAUGAAGGAGAUGGUUGUAGCUACUAUUCAAGGAAGUUAUGGGAGUAUCAGCAGAAGUAUAUUGAUCAACGAAGACCUGAUACUGUGAAAUCCAAGACUUCUUCUGAUAAGUUGACUGCUGAAAAUCGUGGAAAGAUUCUUGGUGAAAAGCCCCUUGAUAGAAGCACUAAACCAUCUAGCUCAUCCUUACCUGCAAAGGAGACAAUUCAACUGCAGUCCAAUCUUGGUGACACAUUUGUGAAGCCAAUAUCGCUUGAUGGCCUACCAGAGUAUGAAAAGCCUUUCAGAAAUGAUCCUGCAAAGCAGGCAAGGUUUGAGCAGUUUCUUAAGGACAAAUACCAAGGAGGCCUUCGCGCUGCAAAUCUUAUACCUACAAGUACUAUGUCAGAUGCUGACCGUGCCCGUGAAAGACUAGAUUUUGAGGCUGCUGCUGAGACAAUUGAAAAGGGCAAGGAAAAAAAGGCUCUGGAUCCUUUAUCAUUGUUGGGUUUAACUGGAAUAAAUGAGCAACGAUUUGUAUCAUCUACUGAAUCAGAGAAAUUGAUACCAGCACAAGAUGAGAAAUCAAUCUAUCCACGGAGGGAGGAGUUUGAAUGGCGGCCAUCACCAAUACUAUGCAAGCGUUUUGACAUCGUUGAUCCUUUCAUGGGAAAGCCAAUGUAUGUUCAAAGGCCACGAAGCAAGAUGGAUAGCCUUAUAUUUAUGUCAGAAUCCUCUACGAGGACAAAUGACAAAGAGGAAAGUUCAAGUAUUGCUUCACAACAUACUUCUGAGCCAGGAACAACAGAGAUAGAAGCAAAGGGGAGUGCAACUGACCCUGAUAUUGGGUCCAGCAGUAUGCAGAAGCCUGUUGAUCUUUACAAGGCUAUCUUUUCUGAUGACUCAGAUGAUGAUAUGGAUGAACCUCUUACUAAUCAACCAGUUGAUCCAGUAAAGACCAGUGAAGAUGCUAAUAUGGUUCUCAAUCGUCUUGUUGCCGAGGACUUCCUAGAAUCGUUGGGUAAAGAACUGGGGUUGGAUGUUCCACCAGAAAAGCCUACACCACCCAAUGUCUUAUUUAGACCAGAAAUGCCUUCAACAGCUAAUGCAAGUAGCAUAUCUAGAAAUGGAAAGGCAACUACUUCUCAGGAAAUAAAGGAGAACAAGAGUUCUCUUCACAAGGCAGUAGUUGCCAAUGCCAGUGCAGAUGCUCCUUCAGAUAAUGCUGAAAGGCUUGAUUUGAAAUAUGAGAAGCAGGAGCAUAGAGCUGAGAAAGGAAGUUUACACUAUUCGCAUCGUCAAACCCAAAGUGUUGGUCUAGAUUCAGAUUCAACCUCUGAUCAGCAUAGGAGUAGGAAAAGGAGAUCACGCCAUCAAAUCCGAAGUGGAAGUCCAGAUUCUGAUUCUUCUGUUGAGCGUCGUAGGAGUAAGAAAAGAAAGUCACAUUCAAGUCAUAGAACACGCAGGAGUAAAAGUCCUUAUGCUGAUUCUUCCAGUGACAGCCAGCAUACUAAAAGGAAACGCCGUGAGAAAAAGCGUCACCAGACUCGCAUUCCUGAUACUGAUUCUAGUGAUCAUGAAUAUGAGGAAAGACAUAAAUCCAGUAGUCGGCGUUCAUCUGAUAAGGACAGAUCCAGAAGACGUUCUAGACACCACAAACGUUGAGGAAAUAUUCCUACAAAACGUUUAUUGGUGAUAGCUACAAAAACGUGAGGGAAAAAUCAGUAGAGUAACAAAUCUUGAAUCAUGGAAAUUCAGGUAAAGUAUUUGGUGAGGCAGAUCUGGUGACUUUUGAGGUUGAUAAUUUUCAUUACAUGUUAUUAUUAUGAAGUCCUCAUUGCUAUCUAAUGGUCCACCAAAACUGCCUGGAAGCUUCUUACAUUAUAGGACAGAGAACUGGUGUUGGAAGGAUGCUUUAGAUGUUGGGAUUGUCAUCAACUCAUAAUGCCUGUUCGGCUGGGCUUCUUAAUGUUUGUCUUGUUAAUACAUAUUACAGAUGACAUCUAUGGAAGACUGUAAAAACUAAAUGAUCGUAUGUAAAUACUAGUACCACACUGGGCUGUUAGAAUUAGUGCAAUCAUGUUGAAGAGCCUGCUGAAGGCCCAUGUUUUUUCUGCUUGGUACAGUUUGUAUUCAUCAAAUAUGACCUGGUCAGAAAUAAACCACCAGAGCUGGGUUCUGGAUCUGCUGAAGCUGGAAGCAUCCCUACCCCACCCACAUCAACAUCCAUUCAAGACAGUGCAGCACUGUGUGAUCAUGAGAAGCUAACAAGAUUCUCCCCAAGACUACAAAAGCGGCCACUUUCGUGUUGCAGUCACUGUUUUCACCGGAAUCGAAGCCCACAGGUGAUGUCAAUACGAGCCGAGUGAGUAACCCUUUUCCCCUUAAAACCCACCUUGAAAAGAUUCUUUUAGAUGUGUCUCUCAUGUGCAAAAAAGCUGGGAGCUGUGGAUAUCGCUGUUUUGCCUGGGGAGAGACGAGAGAGAGCAUGUGUCGCUUUAGGCUGGGCCCAUGGAUGUUCCUUCCUCCCAUGGCAACUCUUACCUUUUGUCAAUCGCAAAUUGGCCAUGGCAUGGCAAGGCAAGGAGAGGUGGCCCGUCGACGUCGUCCUCUUCGCCACCACGGUGGUGACUGACAGCCAUUGCCUUGCCGCGAAGAUGGAGUGUCAACCGCAUUGCUGAGAGAAAACAACCAAGGAUUAUUUGUCGGUUUCCUUGCCACACUCUCAAGCAUGAACUUUCUUUUAACCAAGCCAUCUCCAAUUUAGACGCUUAGUAGGGUGCUUGUCGAAAUAUGUGCUGUGCCAUGGGUUGUUGUUAGUCCUGACCGAACUUACAAAUGAAACUGUCGUGGAUGCAGGAAAUUCAAGGUGGUUUUUAGUGCCACUGUCCGUAAGUUCCGUAGGGGGGCGAAAUCUUGUGCACAGUUUUUCUGGCGGAGUGUUUUUCUUCUUGUGUUUGUAUGCCGACAGCAAUUUGCAUGUACUGUGCGUGUAAAGAUCUUGCUUUCGUGAGCAUCGUUGAAAUGGACUCACGUUUAAUCUGUUGCCCUACAUUUAGAAUCAAGAGCCACUGCCAGUUGGGCCUGCAUGAUUAAACCUUAAACAAAAUUAACCAAGCCAUCAAGAAGAUGAGAUGGGAGAGCUUGGAGAGUGAGGUUUCUGGGUCAACUCCCAAUCAUCGGCGCACACAAAGGAACAGGUUAACCUAACCUCGCCCCGGUGGCCACCAACUCCGCCUUGAAUAAGAAAGGCACGUCACAAUGGAUUCGACAACAAAUCAACCGUUGCCAAGGGAGAUGAAAGGGAAUUGUUUCUCUUAUUAUUAUGCGAUUAUGUGAAAAAAGAGAAUGGAUUUCAACAAUUCUGUAUUUACUAUUAAUUGAUU